rnacentral:rRNA from 1 species
GACGAACGCUGGCGGCGUGCUUAACACAUGCAAGUCGAACGGAAAGGCCCUGCUUUUGUGGGGUGCUAGAGUGGCGAACGGGUGAGUAACACGUGAGUAACCUGCCCUUGACUUUGGGAUAACUUCAGGAAACUGGGGCUAAUACCGGAUAGGAGCUCCUGCUGCAUGGUGGGGGUUGGAAAGUUUCGGCGGUUGGGGAUGGACUCGCGGCUUAUCAGCUUGUUGGUGGGGUAGUGGCUUACCAAGGCUUUGACGGGUAGCCGGCCUGAGAGGGUGACCGGCCACAUUGGGACUGAGAUACGGACCAGACUCCUACGGGAGGCAGCAGUGGGGAAUAUUGCACAAUGGGCGGAAGCCUGAUGCAGCAACGCCGCGUGCGGGAUGACGGCCUUCGGGUUGUAAACCGCUUUCGCCUGUGACGAAGCGUGAGUGACGGUAAUGGGUAAAGAAGCACCGGCUAACUACGUG